UAACACACUCUCAAAACAUAAAACAACCGCUUUCUUCCUCCCUCGUUUCUUCCCUGCAAAACCCUUAUACUGUCAAUACUCUCAAAUCUCAAUCGAUCACAACCGGAGCGGCGAAACCCACGGCGGAGAUUUCCUUCACGCGGUGUUUCCCUUCGCCUGGCGGCGCUUCCCUUCUCACGGCAAGAUUGAAUAAUCGAAUUGGAAGAUUUUCUCAUACUAUUUUUCACAGAGGCUCUCUUCUACUGUGGUGUCGCAAUUUUUCUUUUCCUUAUUCACUCUCUGCGUAGCCCCGCUAAAAGUGUUCCUGUUGCCAGCAGUUGUGGAAAGCUAACCACUCAGAUGGGGAGUCGUAUAUCUUCAGUUGCUAUUUUGAUGCUUAGACAGCUUAGUCUUAUUAUUCCAAUGGUGACAAUGGUUUUGUUUGGCCGUGGACUGGUCCUGCAGCAUCAGCUUCUCUAGCUCCUUACUUGGUUGGUAUUGUUGUACAGUUUGCAUUCGAGCAGUAUGUAAAAUAUACGAAAUCACCUUCCUGGGCCGUCAUUCUAGUUGUAUUUCAGGUGUGACUCAUGUGGGUGGAGACAUGUUCAAAUUGAUUCCUUCUGGUGAUGCAAUCUUCAUGAAGUUUUCCCCUGGUGACCCAAGCAAGUUCAUGGUUACUAUUGCUGAUUCCCAGGUCCGGAUACUGGGGUUAAUGUAAUAUGUAAAUAUAAAGGUCUUCGAAAUGCAAGAAGUCAGAUCUCUGCAUCAUUUACAUCAGAUGGGAAACACAUUAUCUCAGCCAGUGAAGACUCUUCUGUUUAUGUGUUGGAAUCCAAUAAAUCAGACACAUGUCAUACAACAAUUUCAUCUCACUUCAGAAGCAAGAACUCAUUGGGUGCGCUAUGUUGUUCAACAAAUGUAUCGUAGAUAGAUUGCAUUGAAGGAAUCAAAAAUAUACUCCGUACAACUCUAUUAAUUAAUGUGUUUUGCAUAGUUUAAUGUUGUGGUCUAAUUUUAGAACAUAUUUAUGUAAUC